AUGUCCUCUGUAUUCUUCAUUGUAACCUUGGGCCGUGAAACCCCCUCUCAGCUGGGCCCCAGUUCUGCAGGCCUGUGCCUGCUUGGCCUGUUAUUACUCCAUGAAUCAUUGCUGGCCUUAUUAAACUAUUUUGGGCUGCAGGCUUUCCAUUCUCCUCCCGUGAACCGUGAAGAUUGGAGCUGCUGCAGCAGCAUAGGCCCAGCGUGGAAUCUGAAUGUGAAGGAAAGAAGUUUCACUGGUUUGGAAUAUAGCAUUCUACCUCAGAGAACAACCAAGUCUAGACAUGAAACUGUAAGCAAAGAAUAACUGUUAUUUACUGGCUGUUGUGAGCCUAAUUUAUAACCAAGAAGUGGUGCCUGUGCAUGUUAAGCUACUAUCCACAUGAUGGAUAAACCUUUAAAGGUAAGAGUUCAAAUAAUUUCACGGACUCAGGAUAAUUUAGUUUUAAGGCUAGACAGGAUUGUCAGGCUGAAGGAAUAUCGUUAAUGUCACCUCAAGGAAGACAUUCCAUGGUCAAAUAGGUUUGGAAUGGAUUCAACAAAAUUAACAGAUUUGGCAUUUAACUGCAGGACUUCUCAGAGCCCUUACUAUGCCAACAUGUCUUCAGUAGGGAAGGUAGGAGCAGCAAUCCCCAAGGUGACUGGUGUGUGGGGACUUAUUUUUCCCUGCCACUAGAGAACCCUGUGGGACUGGUAGUUAGCAUUUAUGAAUAAUUAUGAUCUAGAGCAGCACCUUAAUUUUUCAGACAUGAACUCUGAUUUUUUAAUCUUUUUGACCUGCUAUUUCUAGGGAGCCAUGACUGCAGAUACAUAGAAGCUGAUUGUGUCUAUUGUGUUACUAAGAGAUCUGUCCAAAAAGUAAGAGCUUAAACUAGGAGCUAUAAUCAAACCCCUGAAAUACUGUGUAUAUGUAUAUUUAACUUACAAGAUAUUUUAUCUUGCAAGAGCUAAAUACUUAUUUAUUUUUAAUCUGUUUUGUGUACAGCUUGGUUUUUGUGGUGUCUAAUAAUCCCUGAUCUAAUGAGUUU
rnacentral:lncRNA from 1 species